AUUGAACGCUGGCGGCAGGCCUAACACAUGCAAGUCGAGCGAGUGGCGGACGGGUGAGUAAUGUCUGGGAAACCGCCUGAUGGCGGGGGAACACUACUGGAAACGGUAGCCAAUUCCGCUUACCAUCGGAUGUGCCUAGAUGGGAUUAGCUAGUAGGUGGGGUAAAGGCUCACCUAGGCGACGAUGCCUAGCUGGUCUGAGAGGAUGACCACCAACAGGGCAACGGAGACACGCUCCAAACUCCUAUGGGAGGCAGCGGUGGGGAUUAUUGGACAAGGGGCGGUAGCGUAAAGCAGCCAAGGCGCGUGUAGGUAAAAGGCCUUCGGGUUGUGGAGUACUUUCAGCUGGGAGGCGUUACCCACCGAAGAAGCACCGGCUAACUCCGUGCCAGCAGCCGCGGUAAUAC
rnacentral:rRNA from 1 species